ACUACGUAUACUGGAUUCCUCUUUCAUGGUCCUAUGAAUACUAUAUUAUGUGCCAUUGAGCUUGCAGGAAAGAGAAUCCUAUUUUCUCUGGGUUGGGGACAGAUUUCCUAAGAAGGAUACGCACUGAGCCAUAACCAGAGGCAGGGACACACGUGAGCAAAACAGACAAGUGACUGCCCUGGAAGCCUACAUUUUAAACAGAAGAGUCAGAAAAUGAACAAAGGAUGGAAAAAAUGUGCAGUAUCUCUGCUAGUGAUAAGUUCUAUGAUAAGAAGUAAAGGUGUAAAGGGGGAAGGAGCCACCUGGGUUAAAGACUCCACGUGGCCUUUCCUGCAGCCAGAUCCCCAUCACAUUUCCCCAAGAACCCUCCGACACACUGGCGCUCCCUCUGCCCGGCCUUCUUUAUCUGGCUUCUCAGCGAUAUCUGCAUAGCUUCCAAUAUUCGGCUCAGUGGAUCUUGCCCCUUCUGCUGGAAGACCCUUUUCAGUUGUUGGCCAGGGUCACUCUUCUCUGGGGGUCCAGCAGCACUGAGAGCAUGCCGCAGCCCCAGGGCUUGGUUCCGUGACUUGUCCAUUCAUGCGUCUACUUCUUCAGCUGGACUCUGAGCAUCUAGA